GUCAGUUUACAAGACCGAGCCCCGUCAUCGUUCGCACGCGACGGAAGCGGAGUGCCGUCUCUGUUGGCGCUGAGCUCCGCGUCAGUGCCCGCCCUCCUUUCUUUCCCCUCGCUAGGGUGGGUUACCAUUGCUGCCCCCUCGGCGUCUUUGUUCAGAUUGAGUUUAUAUGUUUAUAAACUGAGAAGUGCCUAAUGUGGAGCUAUUCAGAUGAAGCUUACAGUCCAAAUUCAUGUGCCAUUCAAUGCUCAGGCAUGACAAGAACAAGUGCUUGCAAGUCCUACGAACCUGUCAAUCCUAUUGGUUGGGAUAUGACGUUGACCUAUCAGUUCGAUGCCUGAAAAUUAUAGAAAUGAUGGUGAUAUUCAGUUAUAACAGAGAGCCUUUUUGCAUUAGUAUCAAAUUCAACAACUAAGAAUCCUUAUUGAGACCGUAUUAAGAAGAUUGUGAAGGAUGUAAAAAUAGUCUCUGCUUUGUUGAUCUCAAACUGAGUGGAGUCAUCGUGUUUGAAUAAUAAGAGCUUGUAUGGUGCCCAUCGGCCAUCCUUAAAUUUUCUGGCCUAAAUGAAACAUUAAACGUUAUUAUUCAUCGCCUGGAUCAAAUUUUUGUUAACUUUAUGGGGAGAUGGAUGGCUAGAUUUAAACCGGCAGAGGCGUCCUAGAUCUAGAGAGCAAAUGUUUGAUAUAGUUCUUUUAUUUGUGAGUCGGCCUGCAACUAAGAUUACUUGAUUGGAACAAUCCUUGUACUGUGUUAUGGAUUGGUAGAUGAUGUGUGGAUAAACGCAGUUUACUCAUUAAGUUAAACAGUAGGAUUCUAUUCUUUUUUGCAGUGACAGUGACGGAAAAAUGGAUCAUCAUAUCCGCACUGUGGCUAAAGCUGCUGGAUGCAGAAUAAUGGGCUCUUAAUUCUGUUGUGGAGAACCAUCAUUUGGUGAGGAAGUAAAAUCUAUUUCCUUGAUCUUCGAGAGGAAGGCAAGGAGGGGAAGAACAUGCUCCAGAAGAAAACCUUCCACGACUGUCCAACUCCAAGGUAGAGAUGUCAAAUAUGAGUGAAUCCACAAGGUUUAAAUGCUACUUCAGAGGCUUUAUUAGUUCCCUGCUCAUUCUUUCCGUGCUGGAUUUGUUGGGGUCUCAUGGGGAGGAGUGUGUCGAGAGUCGGAACCGCCUAAAGCCCCUCCUCUCCUUCAUGGAAACGGAUUGGAGCUUGGCAUUGAUGAGCCAACUUGAGAAGGUAGAUGGCCCUGUCAUGGAGAUUUCAGGCUUUGGAUCGAUGUGCUAUUCCGACGAGAGACUUACUCGUCCAACCAGGCUGACCUCUGCAUGCCUUUCCCGGAUCACUCGUCUGGUCUGUUGCCCAUGGAAUGCCAAAUAGCCACCGUGCUGCCGCAGUCCUAGGCGUCUAUUUCAGAGCAGUGUCAGGGAGACCCAAAAAGGCGGACCAUGGAGGCGACUGAGGCCAGCAAUGAUCACUCUUCGGCAGCUCGUUCAUGGACUGGCUUUACGGAAGUCAAGACUAUGAAGAACAAGAAUGUGAGAAGAGAGAAGAUUAAUGAAAGAAUGCGAUGUUUACAAGACCCUUGUUCCCGGCUGUUACAAGACAAUGGGCAUGGCGGGAAUGCUCGAUGAGAUCAUUAACUAUGUUCAGUCACUGCAGAACCAAGUCGAGUUUCUUUCGAUUAAACUUUCGGCUGCAAGCUUCAUUUAUGACUAGUGCCUCGACACCGAGAGCGUUUUGACAUCGCGGGUGAGCAUAAUAAAUUAAACGAUCCUUUCAUCUUGUUCUUGUGCUGCCCAAACAAUUCUACACAGUGGCAUAUCAUGGGGAAAUAGUCCCAGUUCGUGGGAUAGGAAAGGAGCAGAGCCUCUAGUUUUUUUGUUUUUGUCGGUUUUCCAAUCCCCAGAAAGCAUCGCUGCCAAAGAAUUCUAAUAGCCUAUGCUGUCAACAUGACAGCGAAUGAGCGAGCAUCCGAGAGCUGCACAGGAUGCAAGAGAUGAUUCAUUGUUUGACCAAUGCCCAUGAUAAAUAUUAUCUAGCUGAGGUGAACUUAACAUCCUUUAGUUGGCCACAAUUUAGAGCUUAGGUGGUACACAUGAGUUCCGGUCUCGAGUCAUAAGUCUCAUCCUGAUGCAUUCUAACAUGUGUU